rnacentral:rRNA from 1 species
GACGAACGCUGGCGGCGUGCUUAACACAUGCAAGUCGAACGGGCCUGUCUUCUUUUUUGGGGGGUGGGUUGAGUGGCGAACGGGUGAGUAUCACGUGAGUAACCUGCCCUUCGGUCCUGGAUAACCGCUUGAAAGGGCGGCUAAUACGGGGUGGUCCGGUUGGUCCGCAUGGGCCGGGCGGGAUAGAUUCACUGUUUUUGGUGUUUCGGCGGGGGAUGGGCUCGCGGCCGAUCAGCUCGUUGGUGGGGUGAUGGCCUACCAGGGCGGGGACGGGUAGCCGGCCGGAGAGGGGGGGGGGUCAGACUGGGACUGGGAUACGGCCCAGAGUCCUGCGGGAGGCAGCAGUGGGGGGUAUUGCACAAUGGGCGGAAGCCUGAUGCAGCGACGUCGCGUGAGGGAUGGAGGCCUUCGGGUUGUGAACCUCUGUUUCCGGUGGUGAAGGCCCUGUCCGUGUGGUGGGGUUGACGGUAGCCGGGGAUGAAGCGCCGGCUAACUACGUG